GUAAUUCUCAGUAGCCAAUCAUUUACAGUUGCCAUGGUUAUGAGAGAUGUCACCUCCAGCAGUGUUUCUUAGAGACCUUAUGGUAUAUUUUCCAUGUGGAGUGUGAGUUAAGACAGAUUUUAAUUACAUAUAUAGCAGGGAGACAUUGCUGACCAGUUACGAGAGCCAUUCACACUUUUCUCCUUUUCGACAAAUGUUUAUCAAUACCCUGCUUUUAUACAUUAGGGUUAUCUUCACUGGAUUGAUCGCUGGUCACAGUGAAGGGCGACAAGAUGGAGGCCCCUGCCAGACAACACUCAUAAAUCCUGAAUGACGCAGAUUGAAAAGACCUACAGCUAAGGCCAUUAGAAUCGAUGGAAGAACUGGGAACACGGACACAGAGUCAUGUUAACGCAAUCUCCCAGAGAGGGUGCAAGAUGGCCGAUGGCGAGAUGACGUGAGGCAGAAAGAAGGGCUAGAUGUUCAAACUCUCACUGACAUCUGUGAAAUACAAGCCGAGUUCACUAGAUGAAUGUGUACUGUGUCUUCCUGUCCUUCUUGGGUCCACACACAUCGCAGCGCUUCUUC
ensembl:lncRNA